ACAAUUCAACGGGGGAGCUGUAAGUCGCUGAGAGGAUCCAUCUGGGAUCGACCCCUAACACCUGAUUCGGAUAAUGCCGACGAAGGGAGCGUAAGAUGAGCACUU
rnacentral:ncRNA from 2 species